UGGGGAAUUUUGGACAAUGGGCGAAAGCCUGAUCCAGCAAUGCCGCGUGUGUGAAGAAGGCCUUCGGGUUGUAAAGCACUUUUGUCCGGAAAGAAAUCCUUGGCUCUAAUACAGUCGGGGGAUGACGGUACCGGAAGAAUAAGCACCGGCUAACUACGUGCCAGCAGCCGCGGUAAUACGUAGGGUGCAAGCGUUAAUCGGAAUUACUGGGCGUAAAGCGUGCGCAGGCGGUUUGCUAAGACCGAUGUGAAAUCCCCGGGCUCAACCUGGGAACUGCAUUGGUGACUGGCAGGCUAGAGUAUGGCAGAGGGGGGUAGAAUUCCACGUGUAGCAGUGAAAUGCGUAGAGAUGGUGGAGGAAUACCGAUGGCGAAGGCAGCCCCCUGGGCCAAUACUGACGCUCAUGCACGAAAGCGUGGGGAGCAAACAGGAUUAGAUACCCUGGUAGUCCACGCCCUAAA
rnacentral:rRNA from 1 species